rnacentral:snoRNA from 1 species
UGUUAGAUCACUACAUUGAAAGAUAUUCAUGCAUAAGACGCGAGGCCCCUUGGGGCCGAGAGUCUUAUGCAUGAAUAUCUUCCCGUGUAGUGAUCUAACAUAUACUUAUAAACCCUGGAUAUGCUUAAUAAGAGUGUUUAAUUUUAAUGCUCGACUUGGUCAACAUCAUU